AACGAAACACUGGGCCGCCUGCAGCGGAGCGUGCGAACUUAACCACUCGGCCACGGGGCCAGACCCAAGUCAGGUAAGUUUUAAUCUAAUUUUCCUCCCCUCCUUCUAGUGAGAGACAGACAGAAAGAAAAUACAGUUAAACAAGAUUGAGAAUGGCUAGAUACUGAUUAAUCUCCCUUCACGUCUCUCUGUUAUUUGAAGUCAUUUUAAGCAUACCGAGAGGAGACUCAAGAUUUGAAUGGAAAUUAAAAUGAUUUCCUUUACCUGAUUUCAAACAAAAGGAGUGAAAUUUUUGGAAAUGUCGAACAAAAGGCUCAAACAUUAAGCUCAUGAAUUACAAUGAUUUAAUUUGUGUUAAUCAUGUAACUUUGGUUCAGUUUCAAAGCAAAGGCAUUUGUGUUCAUAUCAUUGACGGCCAAGGUUUAUUGUGUAUAACAAAAGAUCAUUUCAAAAAGAAGAUUGGGUAAAAGAUGUAAUCAGUACAAACUUCAGUAUGUGUGCACGUGUGGGUAUGCACUGCUUGAACAUGUAUAACAAUUAUCAAUAUUUUUUGUGUGUAUAUGUCUGUGAAGUUUUUCCUCUCUAGUGGUUUACAACCCUUUCAAGAAUAAGCAAUUAUGAAAAAUGAUUGGAAUCUCAUUUUAAAGUAGUAGUCCUUUUAACAUCUGUUAACUGAGAAAACAAUAAUGUUGAAAAAAUUUGUAGCAUUUAUGUACUGCCAACCAAAUACCAGACACAAACUAAGCAUAUGAACAAAUUUCAGCAAGUUAAUCCCCAUCUCAACUCUAAUAUAGCCCUUUUGCAUGUGAGAAUACUGAGGUACGGGGAGGUUUGUAACUUGCCCAGGGCCACACAGUUACUAAGUGAUGAAGCUGGCAUUCAAACCCAGGUUGACUCCAAACUAUUUCCUUGCAUCUAUACCGUACUGCCACUAUAAAUUAAGUAGCAUUGUAAAAUUUUUAUUUUACAUAUAGCUGUAGUACAUAUAUGUGAGAAAUGAUUUUUCUGGUCCAUUUACUGGUAACAAUUAAUGUGCCUAUGUCCUAAUAUGUCCUUGCCUCAUGUUUUAACUCAAGCUGACGGAACCUGAAUGGAAUCUGCCACAGGGUCAGAUAUGCUUCCAACCCUGUAUUAAAUGUUUAUUUAAUACCGUUAGUACAAACUUCCAUUUCACUGGAAAACUGCAUGUCUAGACAGGAUUAGCUUCCUAGUUCUAGUCUAGUUGUGAAAUGUGUGAUUUUUUUUCCCCAGUCUCUCAGAUUUGCUACUUUCUUCCUCAGCACUUCUUCCAUGGGUACCCAUUAGCUUUCUCAAAUAAAAGUCUUAAUAUUAUAACUUUAUGAUUACUUCUAAAUGACAGUAAACAUUAUUACUUUCCACCAUGGAGAUUUUCAUUUUAUCAGGAAAAGUUAAAAGAAUGCAGCUUUUAGACAGGAUAUCAAUACUGAGAGAACACCUCUCCUCAAACCAACCUUCCUCCUUCUCUCCCUCACUCCUUGCUUUUCUCUUCCACCCUUCCACAUUAUCUUCUGCUCUCCCCUUCUCCCUUAUAUUCAUCCCUUUGUUUAUUUCUCUAUAAACAAGCGGAAUGUUGACAUUCCACCUUGACAUCAGGGAAGUACAAAUCUAACUAGGGCUAUCUCAAUCUAUAGUCUGACCAGCUGGACCAUUCUGUAAUGAAGUCUUCUAAGACACUAAAAUGUCUUAAAGAAAGGCACCUUCUUACUCCAUUCUCCGUUCAAGCAAGCAUCCAAAAUAUGCUCCCCAACCAUGGAUUGGUUUACUGAACAGAAUAUCUUCAAAUCAACUAGACCAAGCCUGUCAACACUGAGAAAAAGGGGAAGACGUAACUUAAGAAACAUAUGGGUUCCUUCUGAAGCCAACCAGUGUCAAAGAGAUCAGUGGUGCUUGUUACUGCCUUCACUAUUGUGAUAAACAUUAUCACACUAAAAUGUGUAAUAAUAAUGUAAUGAGGGCAA